GAUGAACGCUGGCGGCGUGCCUAAUACAUGCAAGUCGAGCGAACAGACGAGGAGCUUGCUCCUCUGACGUUAGCGGCGGACGGGUGAGUAACACGUGGAUAACCUACCUAUAAGACUGGGAUAACUUCGGGAAACCGGAGCUAAUACCGGAUAAUAUAUUGAACCGCAUGGUUCAAUAGUGAAAGACGGUUUUGCUGACACUUAUAGAUGGAUCCGCGCCGCAUUAGCUAGUUGGUAAGGUAACGGCUUACCAAGGAAACGAUGCGUAGCCGACCUGAGAGGGUGAUCGGCCACACUGGAACUGAGACACGGUCCAGACUCCUACGGGAGGCAGCAGUAGGGAAUCUUCCGCAAUGGGCGAAAGCUUGACGGAGCCACGCCGCGUGAGUGAUGAAGGUCUUCGGAUCGUAAAGCUCUGUUAUUAGGGAAGAACAAAUGUGUAAGUAACUAUGCACGUCUUGACGGUACCUAAUCAGAAAGCCACGGCUAACUACGUG
rnacentral:rRNA from 1 species